UACGUAGGGCGCAAGCGUUGUCCGGAAUUAUUGGGCGUAAAGAGCUCGUAGGUGGCGUGUCGCGUCUGCCGUGAAAGCCCAUGGCUUAACUGUGGGUCUGCGGUGGAUACGGGCAGGCUGGAGGCUGGUAGGGGCAAGCGGAAUUCCUGGUGUAGCGGUGAAAUGCGCAGAUAUCAGGAGGAACACCGGUGGCGAAGGCGGCUCUCUGGGACGGUACUGACGCUGAGACGCGAAAGCGUGGGGAGCGAACAGG
rnacentral:rRNA from 1 species